rnacentral:rRNA from 1 species
AGUUUGAUCCUGGCUCAGAUUGAACGCUGGCGGCAGGCCUAACACAUGCAAGUCGAGCGGAUGAGAGGAGCUUGCUCCUGGAUUCAGCGGCGGACGGGUGAGUAAUGCCUAGGAAUUGCCUGGUAGUGGGGGACAACGUUUCGAAAGGAACGCUAAUACCGCAUACGUCCUACGGGAGAAAGCAGGGGCCUUCGGGCCUUGCGCUAUCAGAUGAGCCUAGGUCGGAUUAGCUAGUUGGUGAGGUAAUGGCUCACCAAGGCGACGAUCCGUAACUGGUCUGAGAGGAUGAUCAGUCACACUGGAACUGAGACACGGUCCGUCUCGGGAGGCAGCAGUGAUUGGACAAUGGGCGAAAGCCUGAUCCAGCCAUGCCGCGUGUGUGAAGAAGGUCUUCGGAUUGUAAAGCACUUUAAGUUGGGAGGAAGGGUUGUAGAUUAAUACUCUGCAAUUUUGACGUUACCGACAGAAUAAGCACCGGCUAACUCUGUGCCAGCAGGGAACGAGCAAUUAAUCGGAAUUACUGGGCGUAAAGCGCGCGUAGGUGGUUUGUUAAGUUGGAUGUGAAAUCCCCGGGCUCAACCUGGGAGCAAGCUAGAGUAUGGUAGAGGGUGGUGGAAUAAGGUAGAUAUAGGAAGGAACACCAGGCGAAGGCGACCACCGACAUAGCUAA